ACGGGNCAAAGAGGGGGACCUUCGGGCCUCUCGCGUCAGGAUAUGCCUAGGUGGGAUUAGCUAGUUGGUGAGGUAAUGGCUCACCAAGGCGACGAUCCCUAGCUGGUCUGAGAGGAUGAUCAGCCACACUGGAACUGAGACACGGUCCAGACUCCUACGGGAGGCAGCAGUGGGGAAUAUUGCACAAUGGGCGCAAGCCUGAUGCAGCCAUGCCGCGUGUGUGAAGAAGGCCUUCGGGUUGUAAAGCACUUUCAGUCGUGAGGAAGGUAGUGUAGUUAAUAGCUGCAUUAUUUGACGUUAGCGACAGAAGAAGCACCGGCUAACUCCGUGCCAGCAGCCGCGGUAAUACGGAGGGUGCGAGCGUUAAUCGGAAUUACUGGGCGUAAAGCGCAUGCAGGUGGUUUGUUAAGUCNNAUGUGAAAGCCCGGGGCUCAACCUCGGAAUAGCAUUUGAACUGGCAGACUAGAGUACUGUA
rnacentral:rRNA from 1 species